rnacentral:rRNA from 1 species
AGUGAACGCUGGCGGUAGGCCUAACACAUGCAAGUCGAACGGCAGCACAGUAAGAGCUUGCUCUUACGGGUGGCGAGUGGCGGACGGGUGAGGAAUACAUCGGAAUCUACUUUUUCUUGGGGGAUAACGUAGGAAACUUUCCCUAAUACCGCAUAAGGCCUAAGGGGGGAAACCGGGGGACCUCCGGCCUUUCGCGGAUGCAUGGACCGAUGUCGGAUUAGCUAGUUGGCGGGGUAAAGGCCCACCAAGGCGACGAUCCGUAGCUGGUCUGAGAGGAUGAUCAGCCACACUGGAACUGAGACACGGUCCAGACUCCUACGGGAGGCAGCAGUGGGGAAUAUUGGACAAUGGGCGCAAGCCUGAUCCAGCCAUACCGCGUGGGUGAAGAAGGCCUUCGGGUUGUAAAGCCCUUUUGUUGGGAAAGAAAAGCAGCAGGUUAAUACCCCGCUGUUCUGACGGUACCCAAAGAAUAAGCACCGGCUAACUUCGUG